rnacentral:rRNA from 1 species
GACAGAGGUGGCGAGCGUUGUUCGGAUUUACUGGGUGUAAAGGGUGCUCAGGUGGUUGUGAUAGUCAGAGGUGAAAGCCCGGAGCUUAACUCCGGAACUGCCUUUGAUACUACAUAGCUUGUGUACGGAAGAGGUUGAUGGAAUUUCUGGUGUAGCAGUGAAAUGCGUAGAUAUCAGAAAGAACACCAGUGGCGAAGGCGGUCAACUGGUCCGUUACAGACACUAAAGCACGAAAGCGUGGGGAGCAAACAGG